ensembl:lncRNA
ACGAUAGCUAGCUAGAAUCGAUAGCUAGCUAGCUAGAACGCUUCAAAAAUUUAUAUAUUAAUGUUUUGCUUUGGUUUAAAGUCCCAAUCCCGCGUAGACUUCAAGUAUUGUUUCGAUAAUUUGCAGUGAAAUGUUGGUGACGUUAACUAGUUGAAUGAAUAUGUUAAUUUACAGAGAUAGCUUGUAGGAAAUGAUUAGCUAGCUAGAGAGCCUGUUUUGUUGCUAGCUAUAAUAAUGGGGACAACAAUAGGAAAAGGGGAUACCUAGUCAGUUGCAAGACUGAAUGUAUUCACCAGUCUAACGCAUAAUAUGAUAGUAAUGUUACUAGCUUAGCUAGCUAUGUUGACAUUGGUUUUUGGGUUGCCAAGAUAUCUGUAGUUUUAGGGUGAAGAGCUAAUAUGAUUGUUCUUAGUAAAAUUCAUAUUACUCAGUGUGUAUCUCUAGUUGACGCUCCAAGUGAGAGAGGCUUAGAGAUGUGGUCAUAUCAAUUAUCAGAGAGGAAGAACUUAAGCAAUAACUUGUACUAGAGAAUCUUUGGCAAUACCCAGGUUUGGUGGCUUUUGAAUAGACUAGCUACAUAUCAUCUCAUAGAGCCCGAAACCUGAAGUUGGUGUCUAAAGUCACAGAGACAGCCAGGUAGAGCUGUGCCAAGAUGGAUGUCCAGUUGUCCAUCAGCUUCCUGAGGGACAGACUGGGCGGGGCCAUUGAGGAGGCAGUGCGUACAGCAGUGGAGUCUGUGCUGUGUGAGACUGUGCGUCUGUUAACCGGGCUCCAAGGGGACCAGCAGCAGGGACUCUCCUCAUUGACCCAGAGGGACCAGGACACCCUGGGACUGAAGCAGAGGUUAGAGGCCCCCAGCGGGGGUGACUGGAGGGUGCAGGCUGGGUCUUCAGAGGCAUUCUGUAACACAGGACCGAGGGGGGGUGGUGGGCGUAGCAACAUUAAGAAUCCAAUGGGUCAGACCACUUGCUCAACCUCCCAAGCAUCACAAAGGACCACCAUGGAGCCCCAUCCCCAGGAGGUGGUGGAGGACUGUGCUGGACUGCCUGACCCAUUUGACCUUGUGUCGGCUGGGCCAGUGAUGGUGGACUUUGAGGAGGGUCAGGGCAUGGGGAUCCCAGAGGAGUGGGAGCUGAUGAACAGAGUGUACAAGACUGAGCACAAUGAAGACAUGGCCCUUAUUGACGGGGGCGGUGCCACUCACUUUGCAGAUGACCACAGGCUGCAUGAAGGAGACCUGAGGACUGUGGCUGUGUCCCUGGAGGGAGAGAUGGCUGCCAAGCCCCAGGAUGCAUUGCACCCCUGCUUCAGCCCAGCCAACAUCAAAACAGAGCGGCCUGAUAUGGAGAGAUGCUGCAUGGCUGAGGAGGCCCUUGCUCUGCCUCUGCCUCAUCCUGCCAAUAGUGGUGUGGAGGCCGGUGAGUUUGGGCAGGAGCAGGUGGAGGCUGGCCCACGGGACUUUGUAGGUCGCCUGCGCCUGUGGCUGGAGCAGCUGUGUCCUGAGGUGGUGCGGGAGUACGAGAGGGAGGGCUGUCUGUGUGAGCUGUCCCGCAGAAAGCUCAUAAAGUUCUCCGUGUCCUUCAUCGUGGAGGAGUUUGGAUUCUACCCUACCUCUGCUCAGAAGACCAUGCUGGCAGAGCACAUAGUGGAACUCUUCCCAGGACUCAGACUCUGUGCACCCUCUGCUGGCAUCAAUGGCAUCGAACACUUGUACGACCCUUUGUCCCGUACGGGUUACAUUGAGACGCGCCUGCGCAACUCUCGACGCACCCUUGAAGACCACAAGAAGAAGUAUGUGCUGAAGAGGCGUCGGCCAGAGCCAGGUCUGUUGGACCCCGCUGGACCUCGAUCGGGACCUGGGCUCCUGGAGAGCCAGUCCAGUGAGGAGACGCAGAGGUGGGUGGAGCUGAUGAAGAAAACCAGGCCCCUGACCAGGAAUCUGCCUGCCAUCCACGGUGCUAUGGACCUCACAUUCAACGCACGCAGGAGGUGGAUCAGCAACACACGGCCUAGUAUGAGGGCUGUGUUGGACGAGUACCCACGUUUUCUUGACAUACCCGCCACGAUUGACCUGGAGUUUGAGAGGAUGUUCCCAGGUAAAGGCCACUCUUUCCUGGCCCAGUGGUCGUCUUUCGUGUUGCCCAGGUUGUACCAGAUCGCAGAGUGCGAAAAACACCCAGACAUCUCAGCACUUCUCCAACUGGCUGCCACACAGCAAGGAGACUCCUACACCCUGACUAUGCUGAAGGUCCUGAUCUAUGUACUACCACCAACAAACACCAGUAGAGCCUCCUUACCCUCCAGGAGCAGUGUCAGGCAGGCCAUUCGGUAUCUGGUGGACAUUGUACCGAUGGACACCGAGGUGUCCUCCUUAUUCUGUGACCCUACCUCCUUGGAGGGCCCAGAGUCUGCCUCCCAUACUCAGCCCUACAUAGUGAGCGUGGGGCCCCUGGAGGCCCCUGGCCGGCAGCUUUGCAUCGUGUUCCCCGUUGAUAGGAUGGCAAUCCCCCUGCCUCAGGAGGGCCUGAGCAAUGCACUGGACAAGCUUUUCAAGCUUCUGCGUGUGUUUGAACAGGGGUACCCAGAUCAGCUAGCCUCCCUGUAUAGCUUCCUUGAGCACCUCUAUGGGCUGGAGAUGACCCCACGAGAUAACCAUGACUCCCCCAGUGGCAAGGGAUCAAAAGUGCUUGAACUUUUAGCACGGCUCCACAUGCCCUCCUGACAGAAGGCGUAGGUCUACACAUGAAUUGAACUCGCCCCACAGACUUACCUUUUCCUUUGUAUUUUUUUGGAUUGCAAUUUUAUCAUAGCCAUCCUUUACAGAACACGUCCUUUACUUUGUUCUGAAUUUUCCCCCAAAUAAAAAGUAUGUCAGAAUGAACUAAACAAUGCUGAUGGAACACUGGUGUGUUAUACAGUACCAGUCAAAAGUUCAGACACCUACAUAUUCAAGGGUUUUUCUUUAUUUUUACUAUUUUCUACAUUGUAGAAACUAUGAAAUAAAAUAUGGAAUCGUGUAGUAACCAAAAAAGUGUCAAACAAAUCAAAAUAUGAGAUUCUUCAAAGUAGCCACCCUUUGCCUUGACAGCUUUGCACACACUUGGCAUUCUCUCAACCAGCUUCAUGAGGUUGUCACCUGGAAUGCAUUUCAAUUAACUUGUGUGCCCUGUUAAUUUAAGGAAUUUAUUUCCUUAAUGCAUUUGAGCCAAUCAAUUGUGUUGUGACAAGGUAGGGGUGGUAUAGAGAAGGUAGCCCUAUUUUGUAAAAGACCAAGUUCAUAUUAUGGCAAGAAUUGCUCAAAUAAGCAAAGAGAAACAACAGUCCAUCAUUACUUUAAGACAUGAAGGUCAGUCAAUCUGGAAAGUUUCAAAAACUGAAAGCUUCUUCUAGUGCAGUCGCAAAAACCAAGUUCUAUGAUGAAACUGGCUCUCAUGAGGACCACAACAGGAAAGGAAGACUCAGUUACACUACCGUUCAAAAGUUUGAGGGUCACUUAGAAAUGUCCUUGUUUUUGAAAGAAAAACACUUUUUGUCCAUUUUUAAAAUAACAUCAAAUUGAUCAGAAAUACAGUGUAGACAUUGUUAAUGUUGUAAAUGACUUUUGUAGCUGGAAACGGCUGAUUUGUAAUGGAAUAUCUACAUAGGCAUACAGAGGCCCAUUAUCAGCAACCAUCACUCCUGUGUUCCAAUGGCACGUUGUGUUAGCUAAUCCAAGUUUAUCAUUUUAAAAGACUAAUUGGUCAUUAGAAAACUGUUCUGAUUAAAGAAGCAAUAAAACUGGCCUCCUUUAGACUAGUUGAGUGUCUGGAGCAUCAGCACUUGCGGGUUCGAUUACAGGCUUAAAAUGGCCAGAAACAAAGAACUUUCUUCUGAAACCCGUCAGUCUAUUCUUGUUCUGAGAAAUGAAGGCUAUUCCAUGUGAGAAAUUGCCAAGAAACUGAAGAUCUCGUACAAUGCUGUGUACUACUCCCUUCACAGAACAACACAAACUGGCUCUAACUAGAAUAUGAGAGGGAGGCCACGGUGCACAACUGAGCAAGAGGACAAGUACAUUAGUGUCUAGUUUGAGAAACAGACGCCUCACAAGUCCUCAACUGGCAGCUUCAUUAAAUAGUACGCGAAAAACACCAGUCAACGUCAACAGUGAAGAGGCGACUCCAGGAUGCUGACCUUCUAGGCAGAGUUGCAAAGAAAAAGCCAUAUCUCAGACUGGCCGAUAAUAAGAAAAGAUGGGCAAAAAAAACACAUACUGGACAAAAGUGUUAUGGACAGACGAAUCUAAGUUUGAGGUGUUCAGAUCACAAAGAAGAACAUGAGAUGCAGAAAAGAUGCUGGAGGAGUGCUUGACGCCAUCUGUCAAGCAUGGUGGAGGCAAUGUGAUUGUCUGGGGUGGUUGUGAAGUGGGAGAUUUCUAAAGGGUAAAAGGGAUCUUGAAGAGGGAAGGCGAUCACUCCAUCUGGAACACCAUGCCAUACCCUGUGGACGGCACUUAAUUGGAGCAAAUGUCUUCCUAUGACAGGACAAUGACCCAAAACACAGCUCCAAACUAUGCAAUAACUAUUUAGGGAAGCAGUCAGCUGGUAUUCUGUCUAUAAUGGAGUAGCCAGCACAAUCACCGGAUCUCAACCCUAUUGAGCUGUUGUGGGAGCAGCUUGACCGUACGUACCAUACCGUAAGAGGUGCCCAUCAAGCCAAUCCAACUUGUGGGAGGUGCUUCAGGGAGCAUGGGGUGAAAUCUCUUCAGAUUACCUCAACAAAUUGACAACUAGAAUGCCAAAGUUCUGCAAGACUGUAAUUGCUGCAAAUGGAGGAUUCUUUGAAGGAAAAUAGUAAAAAGAAAGUCAAAUCCUUGAGUGAGUAGGUGUGUCUUAACUUUUGACUGGUACUGUAUAUUCACUGCAUUUCUCAUUGACAAUGAAAAUACUUGCAUAAAACUAACAUCUUGUAUGAAUUUGUGUGGGGAAACGAUACCGUAUUUUGUACUUUGGGAUACCUUUUCAGUUUUUGCACAAUUGCUUUAGUAUUUAACUUGCUCAUGAUACUGUUGUUUUUUAAAAUAAAAAAAUAUGAAUGUUUUCACUGUCCACUAUUUUAAUGUUAAAUAUGGGUGAGGCAUGUAAUGGCAUACUUUUCUGUCUUGUCAACACAUUUAUGUAAUGCAUGACCAAGUGAUAUGUUCUUUAGAGUCUAUGUUCAAUCGGUGGCAGCAGUCGGAUAAAAUGGCCCGGUUUGAACUUGCCUAUGGGCCAUCACUUCACCAGGCGAAGCCAGUGAGGGAGGAGGAGCGGCAAGCUCAAAUCGAACAAGAAUCUGCGCCACUCCCUUACGUGGUCAAAAAUGUUUGAAUUUUCAAAUUAGUUUUCAAAGCAAUCACUUUUGCAAGUGAAAACAGAAUCCUACUCAUUACUCCACAUGCUAACUUAAGUCACUUUUGUUUUGAGCCGAUUUAUACUAUACAAAAAUAAAACGCAAC